rnacentral:rRNA from 1 species
UACGUAGGGGGCAAGCGUUGUCCGGAAUUACUGGGCGUAAAGAGCGCGUAGGUGGUUAAGUAAGUCAGGUGUGAAAGGCCAGAGCUCAACUCUGGGACUGCACUUGAAACUGCUUAACUUGAGGACAGGAGAGGUAAGUGGAAUUCCCAGUGUAGCGGUGAAAUGCGUAGAUAUUGGGAGGAACACCAGUGGCGAAAGCGACUUACUGGCCUGGUUCUGACACUGAGGCGCGAAAGCGUGGGGAGCAAAC